UGGGGAAUUUUGGACAAUGGGGGCAACCCUGAUCCAGCCAUGCCGCGUGAGUGAAGAAGGCCUUCGGGUUGUAAAGCUCUUUCGGCGGGGACGAAAUGGUUCGUGCCAAUACCACGGACUGAUGACGGUACCUGAAGAAGAAGCACCGGCUAACUACGUGCCAGCAGCCGCGGUAAUACGUAGGGUGCAGGCGUUAAUCGGAAUUACUGGGCGUAAAGCGUGCGCAGGCGGUUUGUUAAGACAGAUGUGAAAUCCCCGGGCUUAACCUGGGAACUGCGUUUGUAACUGGCAGACUGGAGUGUGGCAGAGGGGGGUGGAAUUCCAAGUGUAGCAGUGAAAUGCGUAGAUAUUUGGAGGAACACCGAUGGCGAAGGCAGCCCCCUGGGCUAACACUGACGCUCAUGCACGAAAGCGUGGGGAGCAAACAGGAUUAGAUACCCUGGUAGUCCCUGAGCGGGCUGGCAAGGCGCAU
rnacentral:rRNA from 1 species